CUGAGAUUAUGAUGACGAAGAUGCUAUGAAGUCAACAAGGAAAGUCAAAGAUAAAAAACAGAUUAGGUUAAAGUCCUCCGUAACACCACCACGACAUGUUAAGCUAAACAUCGCACAACCAUACAGUGUGCCUCACAAUGCAUCAAAGUCAGAAAGGGUCAAGGAAGAAGCAAGUCUCAUGGUUGUGGAAGAUCGGUAGUACCAGAAUGAUAUACCUUACCUAAACCAAGAAUAUUUGAUAAAGGCUCUUGGAAGUUGGAACUCAGUUGUGUAAGAAGAAUAUUGUUUUAUGAGCUAGCAAGGAAAAGACAGAGGGGCAUCCUCUUCAGUCAAAGAUUUAGGAGCUGAAGAAAGGGUAUAAGUGUUAUUAAGAUGUGUGCAGCUACUUGGGAAGAUGUUGAGAAAGCCAAGAAAAUGGCCAGGUGACAGCAAAUAGCCAAAGGGGAAGACUGAUCAGGUAGCUUGGAAAAUGACGACGGCAACUUGAUGUUUCUUGAUGAACUGCGUCAAGGGUGUGGUCUCCUAUAAGUGUCAAGGUGUGCAAUAAGUUGGAUGUGCACCCUAUAAAUGGUAAGUACAUAAGCACCGACUUCAUGAUUUCUAUUAAGAAGGGGAAUGUGAUUACUGUGUUGCUCGAAACAACAUAGUUCAUUACUUUUCGGACAACUUAAGGGAGGGCUGAUUGACCUUUACAGUGCGGGAUAAUCAAGACAAAUAUAGUAUCAUGAAGGGCAGAGGUUACAUGAUUGAGCUUCAAGGGUCAACUAUUGUCAAGGAGUUGCUGAUGCGAAAGAAACUUUUGAGAAAAAAAAUAUGCAAAAUAAGGUGCGCAAUAUGCAUUGCCUCAUUACAAUUGAGAAAAUGAGAAUGAGGAUAGUAGACUGUAGAAAAUGCUUUGGCUGCUAAAUGGUGGAGUUCAAGUUGUAAAUAACUGACAUCACCACUUAGGUGGGGUGGUAGAGGCUUAUGCCUCUUGGAGAAAAGACCAAGGUUCAAAUCUUGACAAUGGAGUAUUAUGGGGUUUAUAGAUUAAAGUAGUAGAGUAGGAUUUGUUGUUAAAAAAAAAGUUGUAAAUAACUAUUGCCAUUAGGAUGUAAACGCCCAGAAGUACGGCAUGAAUGGUGAGAUAACUGAUCUUAUAUAUACAUAUACACAUGUAAAUUUGUGGUUUUUGAUAAUUCUAGGCUAAAAGAGCCCAUGGAAUGAUUAUUCUAA